rnacentral:rRNA from 1 species
AUUGAACGCUGGCGGCAGGCCUAACACAUGCAAGUCGAGCGGAUGAAGGGAGCUUGCUCCUGGAUUCAGCGGCGGACGGGUGAGUAAUGCCUAGGAAUCUGCCUGGUAGUGGGGGAUAACGUCCGGAAACGGGCGCUAAUACCGCAUACGUCCUGAGGGAGAAAGUGGGGGAUCUUCGGACCUCACGCUAUCAGAUGAGCCUAGGUCGGAUUAGCUAGUUGGUGGGGUAAAGGCCUACCAAGGCGACGAUCCGUAACUGGUCUGAGAGGAUGAUCAGUCACACUGGAACUGAGACACGGUCCAGACUCCUACGGGAGGCAGCAGUGGCGAAUAUUGGACAAUGGGCGAAAGCCUGAUCCAGCCAUGCCGCGUGUGUGAAGAAGGUCUUCGGAUUGUAAAGCACGUUAAGUUGGGAGGAAGGGCAGUAAGUUAAUACCUUGCUGUUUUGACGUUACCAACAGAAUAAGCACCGGCUAACUUCGUG